AUCUGGCCCACAACCUUAUUUCCCCUUCCUUUCCCUUAUAUCCACCAACCUUACAGCUGCAAGCAACUCCAAACACACCCAUUUUCAACUCAACCACGGUAAAAUCCAGAACGAAAAGUCAACAACGGUAGAUCAUCUCCAACGGGCUAAUCCGGAUUUCGCUCAAUAUCGUUCGAUCAGAUUCAACGCGGAGGGUCAAGAUUAAUUCUAGUUUGAAUUUCAAAUCCUUCAUCCUAAAUUUCUUAUGGGUUUCCCCCCAAAUACUAUGCCGAAAAUCUGCUAUAAAUAUCCAUUGAGGGAUAGACGGUAAAGGGGGAUUUGGGAAAAAAAAAAAAAAAAAAACUUGAAGGUUCGGGAGGGCUUCUAACCUCACGCAACCAAAAAAUUCUCAAAAAUUGAGUACCGACGAAAUCAAGUGUAGUUCCAGUGGUGAAAGCUUGUCGUGAUAGGCUCAUCGUCCUAGUUCCUGGUGGUUAAAUGCUUGAGUCGUGCAAAACCAAAUUUUAGGUAUGUUAAAGCAGUAGUUGUGAAUUUGGGGAGGUUUUAUUUCUCGUGGUGGUUAAAUGCUUGAGUCGUGCAAAACCAAAUUUUAGCCGACGCCAUCGCCCUUGCAUUCCCUCGGAAUCAAAAACCAUCUUUAUUCGAGUCAAAAAUUUUCGUCAAAUCUGCCUAGGGACUGGUAUACAUUUGUAUACAGCAGAUAUACAAAACGCAACAGCAACAGCAACAGGGCUGAUAUACAGUAAAUAUACACCAGAUAUACAAAAACGCAGCAGCAACAGGACUGAUAUACAGUCAGUAUACAACUGAUAUACACUUCCGAAAAUGGACUGAAGUCCAUAAUUCAAGCCCAAAACUGGGCAGCUUCAUUAAUGGGCCAAUUGAGGGCCCAAUUUUAAUUCUUGCGUCAUUUUUGUAACUUGUAUUGUUUAUUUGUGUGAAUUAACAUAUUCAAUUAAUUAAUCUAGAUAAAUCUCCUAA